rnacentral:rRNA from 1 species
GUAGGGAAUAUUGGACAAUGGGGGCAACCCUGAUCCAGCCAUGCCGCGUGUGUGAAGAAGGUCUUCGGAUUGUAAAGCACUUUAAGUUGGGAGGAAGGGCAGUAAGUUAAUACCUUGCUGUUUUGACGUUACCAACAGAAUAAGCACCGGCUAACUUCGUGCCAGCAGCCGCGGUAAUACGAAGGGUGCAAGCGUUAAUCGGAAUUACUGGGCGUAAAGCGCGCGUAGGUGGUUCAGCAAGUUGAAGGUGAAAUCCCCGGGCUCAACCUGGGAACUGCCUCCAAAACUGCAUGACUAGAGUACGGUAGAGGGUAGUGGAAUUUCCUGUGUAGCGGUGAAAUGCGUAGAUAUAGGAAGGAACACCAGUGGCGAAGGCGACUACCUGGACUGAUACUGACACUGAGGUGCGAAAGCGUGGGGAGCAAACAGGAUUAGAUACCCUUGUAGUCC